AAAGCGUGUUAGCUUGGAAUUCUCUGUAUUCGCUCGAUCACUAAGCAGAGGGGAAGGUCUGAGGCGCCAGCUGGGACUGCAAAGUCGUCUGCGGAAACGCACAAAACGUCCACCAGAAAACAGCAUCGCUUGAAAGCGACGUUAUGGCCAUAUACUUAAGCUCAAUUUCCAAGGCCUCACGGUAACUCAAUUCAGACUACUCAACACACUUU
rnacentral:RNase_P_RNA from 2 species